UACGAAGGGGGCUAGCGUUGUUCGGAAUCACUGGGCGUAAAGGGCGCGUAGGCGGCCGAUCAAGUCGGGGGUGAAAGCCUGUGGCUUAACCACAGAAUGGCCUCGAUACUGUUUGGCUUGAGACCGGAAGAGGUUAGUGGAACUGCGAGUGUAGAGGUGAAAUUCGUAGAUAUUCGCAAGAACACCAGUGGCGAAGGCGGCUGACUGGUCCGGUUCUGACGCUGAGGCGCGAAAGCGUGGGGAGCAAACAGGG
rnacentral:rRNA from 1 species